rnacentral:rRNA from 1 species
GAUUAAGUUAUUAAGGGCGCACGGUGGAUGCCUUGGCACUAGAAGCCGAUGAAGGACGUUACUAACGACGAUAUGCUUUGGGGAGCUGUAAGUAAGCUUUGAUCCAGAGAUUUCCGAAUGGGGAAACCCAGCAUGAGUUAUGUCAUGUUAUCGAUAUGUGAAUACAUAGCAUAUCAGAAGGCACACCCGGAGAACUGAAACAUCUUAGUACCCGGAGGAAGAGAAAGAAAAUUCGAUUCCCUUAGUAGCGGCGAGCGAAACGGGAAGAGCCCAAACCAACAAGCUUGCUUGUUGGGGUUGUAGGACACUCUAUACGGAGUUACAAAGGACGACAUUAGACGAAUCAUCUGGAAAGAUGAAUCAAAGAAGGUAAUAAUCCUGUAGUCGAAAAUGUUGUCUCUCUUGAGUGGAUCCUGAGUACGACGGAGCACGUGAAAUUCCGUCGGAAUCUGGGAGGACCAUCUCCUAAGGCUAAAUACUCUCUAGUGACCGAUAGUGAACCAGUACCGUGAGGGAAAGGUGAAAAGCACCCCGGAAGGGGAGUGAAAUAGAACCUGAAACCGUGUGCUUACAAGUAGUCAGAGCCCGUUAAUGGGUGAUGGCGUGCCUUUUGUAGAAUGAACCGGCGAGUUACGAUUUGAUGCAAGGUUAAGCAGUAAAUGUGGAGCCGUAGCGAAAGCGAGUCUGAAUAGGGCGUUUAGUAUUUGGUCGUAGACCCGAAACCAGGUGAUCUACCCUUGGUCAGGUUGAAGUUCAGGUAACACUGAAUGGAGGACCGAACCGACUUACGUUGAAAAGUGAGCGGAUGAACUGAGGGUAGCGGAGAAAUUCCAAUCGAACCUGGAGAUAGCUGGUUCUCUCCGAAAUAGCUUUAGGGCUAGCCUCAAGUGAUGAUUAUUGGAGGUAGAGCACUGUUUGGACGAGGGGCCCCUCUCGGGUUACCGAAUUCAGACAAACUCCGAAUGCCAAUUAAUUUAACUUGGGAGUCAGAACAUGGGUGAUAAGGUCCGUGUUCGAAAGGGAAACAGCCCAGACCACCAGCUAAGGUCCCAAAAUAUAUGUUAAGUGGAAAAGGAUGUGGCGUUGCCCAGACAACUAGGAUGUUGGCUUAGAAGCAGCCAUCAUUUAAAGAGUGCGUAAUAGCUCACUAGUCGAGUGACACUGCGCCGAAAAUGUACCGGGGCUAAACAUAUUACCGAAGCUGUGGAUUGUCCUUUGGACAAUGGUAGGAGAGCGUUCUAAGGGCGUUGAAGCAUGAUCGUAAGGACAUGUGGAGCGCUUAGAAGUGAGAAUGCCGGUGUGAGUAGCGAAAGACGGGUGAGAAUCCCGUCCACCGAUUGACUAAGGUUUCCAGAGGAAGGCUCGUCCGCUCUGGGUUAGUCGGGUCCUAAGCUGAGGCCGACAGGCGUAGGCGAUGGAUAACAGGUUGAUAUUCCUGUACCACCUAUAAUCGUUUUAAUCGAUGGGGGGACGCAGUAGGAUAGGCGAAGCGUGCGAUUGGAUUGCACGUCUAAGCAGUAAGGCUGAGUAUUAGGCAAAUCCGGUACUCGUUAAGGCUGAGCUGUGAUGGGGAGAAGACAUUGUGUCUUCGAGUCGUUGAUUUCACACUGCCGAGAAAAGCCUCUAGAUAGAAAAUAGGUGCCCGUACCGCAAACCGACACAGGUAGUCAAGAUGAGAAUUCUAAGGUGAGCGAGCGAACUCUCGUUAAGGAACUCGGCAAAAUGACCCCGUAACUUCGGGAGAAGGGGUGCUCUUUAGGGUUAACGCCCAGAAGAGCCGCAGUGAAUAGGCCCAAGCGACUGUUUAUCAAAAACACAGGUCUCUGCUAAACCGUAAGGUGAUGUAUAGGGGCUGACGCCUGCCCGGUGCUGGAAGGUUAAGAGGAGUGGUUAGCUUCUGCGAAGCUACGAAUCGAAGCCCCAGUAAACGGCGGCCGUAACUAUAACGGUCCUAAGGUAGCGAAAUUCCUUGUCGGGUAAGUUCCGACCCGCACGAAAGGCGUAACGAUUUGGGCACUGUCUCAACGAGAGACUCGGUGAAAUCAUAGUACCUGUGAAGAUGCAGGUUACCCGCGACAGGACGGAAAGACCCCGUGGAGCUUUACUGUAGCCUGAUAUUGAAAUUCGGCACAGCUUGUACAGGAUAGGUAGGAGCCUUUGAAACGUGAGCGCUAGCUUACGUGGAGGCGCUGGUGGGAUACUACCCUAGCUGUGUUGGCUUUCUAACCCGCACCACUUAUCGUGGUGGGAGACAGUGUCAGGCGGGCAGUUUGACUGGGGCGGUCGCCUCCUAAAAGGUAACGGAGGCGCUCAAAGGUUCCCUCAGAAUGGUUGGAAAUCAUUCAUAGAGUGUAAAGGCAUAAGGGAGCUUGACUGCGAGACCUACAAGUCGAGCAGGGUCGAAAGACGGACUUAGUGAUCCGGUGGUUCCGCAUGGAAGGGCCAUCGCUCAACGGAUAAAAGCUACCCCGGGGAUAACAGGCUUAUC